rnacentral:rRNA from 1 species
AUUGAACGCUGGCGGCAGGCCUAACACAUGCAAGUCGAACGGAAGAACGGUGCUUGCUUGUGGUUUCAGCGGCGGACGGGUGGGUGAUGCCUAGGAAUAUCCCUGGCUGUGGUGUCUAACGUCCGGAAGCGGGCGCUCAUACCGCAUAAGCGCAGAGGGAGAAAGGGGGGGAUCUUCGGACCUUAGGCUCUCAGAUGAGCCUAGGUCGGGUUAGCUAGUUGGUGGGGUGAAGGCCUACCAAGCCGACGAUCCGUAGCUGGUCUGCGAGGAUGAUCAGUCACACUGGAACUGAGACACGGUCCAGACUCCUAAGGGAGGCAGCAGUGGGGAAUAUUGGACAAUGGGCGGAAGCCUGAUCCAGCCAUGCCGCGUGGGUGAAGAAGGCCUUCGGGUUGUAAAGCACUUUAAGUUGGGAGGAAGAGCAGUAGGUUAAUACCUUGCUGUUUUGACGUUACCAACAGAAUAAGCACCGGCUAACUUCGUG